rnacentral:lncRNA from 1 species
AGUCAAUCCCAACUACAAUUUUUUUCUAAUCAGCAAGUCUAUAUUAUUAGAUCAAAUUAACCAAUCUCUGCUACCAGAUUAUGUACCACAUGCUUGGUUGCUAUGGUCAAUUUGUAUUUAUUAAUAGUAAUCAACAGAAGGUAUUAAAUAUACAGUUUGUUGGUUUUGUAAAUUUUUCAUAAUCACAAUGCAGAAUUAUUCUGUUGAUUUACACGAAUAAUCUGUUUGUUGCUUUUAUUUAAAAAUCAAACACUGGUUAAGAAAUGGGGUGGGAUUCAUUUUACAUUAUUAUUAUUAUUAAGUGAGUUCUACAGUCUUAUACAAUUAUUUGGAAAAUAUACAAAACAUAGGCUUACGUCUCCUCACCUAUAAGUCUAAUUAAUUUUUUACACUAGUAAAAAAGCACCAAGGUUAAACAUGAAAAUUUAUGAAGCUAAGGGAAACUCCACCUCUGAUUCUUGUGUAACAAGCCAUCUAAUUUUUAUUGCAAGCAUUCGUUUAAACCAUUGCUCUAUUGAUUAAUGCAACUUUAAUUUCACUUCUAAAUGUAUGUGUGAAUUCAUAGGUUUUUUUUAUGAUCAGUAUAAACUAAGAACAAGUCAUAACUGCUGUUCAGCAGUGAUGAAAACACUACUGCACAUACUGAGCAUAAUCUGAACCAGAGCAACAGAAAAUACAGCAUGGGGAAAUGCCAGGGAUACAGAGAGCUACUGCCUUGAAGAUAUGCCAGCCAAUCGUAUCCAACCCAAAGACCAUGCUGCUUCCUGUCAACAUAUUUCAUAUAAGAUAAGGUGCUAUCUGCACACAGCAGUUACACUGGUAAUUUAGUCUAAGAAAUAAGAACGAAAAAGAUAUUUCUUGUUUAGUGGAUCACUGAGAUGAAAAAAGACAAGUUGCGAACGCAUCCUUCACUCAUCUCAGCGUCGACAAACUGUACGUCAACGGAGAGCUCUACCGGGACCGGGAAGCAACUCCGUGGCUGUACUAGCAGGUGGUAUGUAAAAAAAAUGGUUUAAUAUAAAAGCUUUGUUAAAAAAAAUAAUAGAUGCAAUGCAACUAUGUGUUAUAACUUUACAUCCAGUAUUCAAACUCGUUCC